GCUAAAAAAGCUUUUAUAGCGUUGGUCUUGUAAAUCAAAGAUAGGAAUAAUAAUUUCUUUUAGUA
rnacentral:tRNA from 1 species